AUUGAACGCUGGCGGCAGGCCUAACACAUGCAAGUCGAGCGGAGCAGCGGACGGGUGAGUAAUGCCUAGGAAUCUGCCUGGUAGUGGGGGAGAACGUCCGGAAACGGGCGCUAAUACCGCAUACUAUCAGAUGAGCCUAGGUCGGAGUAGCUAGUUGGUGGGGUAAAGGCCUACCAAGGCGACGAUCCGUAACGGGCCUGAGAGGAUGAUCAGCCACAUUGGAACUGAGACACGGUCCAGACUCCUACGGGAGGCAGCAGGGGGGAAUAUUGGACAAUGGGCGAAAGCCUUGUCCAGCCAUGCCGCGUGUGUGAAGAAGGUCUUCGGAUUGUAAAGCACUUUAAGUUGGGAGGCGUUACCCACAGAGUAAGCACCGGCUAACUUCGUGCCAGCAGCCGCGGUAAUUC
rnacentral:rRNA from 1 species